AGAGUCAAUCAACCUAUCCACAUGACAUGAGCUGCCUGGGUUACCCCUGGCAGCUCGUAUCAUCUGGAGUACCAGGAACUCUGGUUCUGGGUAGCCCAGCCCCCCAGCCGUGUAUCUGCUUGGGCUACAUACUGCCUGAGUAGACACAGAGCUGGGCACCUAGAGCACCCGGCUGAGGGAUAAUCCCUCAAUACACCGCGAUCCUUGUGUGGUGCAUUUAAAGAUCUCUGGAAGCCAGGCUGCAUUUUCCUGGCUUCCAGAUGGCCACAUGGCUCCUAGGGGAGCUGCUCAUGUGGGGGCAUGAGCUGCGCAGCCAGAAGAGGACCAGAGAUCAUCUGGGGGGAAGGUAGGUGCUCUCCUGCCUUCCCCCCUCCCCUCCCCACCUGACUGGAAGGGCAGGUGAACAACCUCAUAGUUUUACUUGGAGGGGCAAAGACUAAUCCAAUUUUAGACAUAAGUUUAUUUCUGUUCUAAACGGACAUCAACCAUAAGAACAAAGGACAAAAUAAAAUGAGGUGUGCAACCAGCUAUCCUAUAGGGAUGUGCAAACUGGCCUGUCGUCGAGCCAGUUCAACGUCAAGCCGGUUUGGUUUGAUGGUUUGGGGUCAAACCGAACCACCCCCUCUUCAUUCUGACCCCAGACCAAACACCCCCUGAAUGCAAACGUUUUAGACUUUAAAAAAAAAAAAAAAAGUUAACCUUCCCUUCCGGGGAGUUGCUGGAGGCGGCGGGGAUGGGGCGCGCGGAGGUUCCCGCUCCCCCUGCUGGCUUUCUAUGUGCCGCUCUCCGGCCAGUUCGACCUGAUUUCGGCCUUCUCCCCUCGGCAAGGCGGCACCUUCCUCCGAAGCAAAGGAGUGCCUUCCUAGCGUAUGACAAAUGAAACGUAAUUGAGAGAGUGAGCUGCUCCAAAUGUCAAGGAAUUCAUGCUGAAGGCUUCAUAAGAACAGCCUUGCUGAAUCAGGCCUAAGGUGUAUCUAGUUCAGCAUCCUGCUUCACACAGUGGCUCACCAGAUGCUUCGGGGAAGCCCACAGGCAAGAGCUAAGGGCAUGCCUUCUCUCCUGCUAUUACUCCUCUGCAACUGGUAUUUGGAGGCAUCUUGCCUCUGAGGCUGGAGGUAGCCUAUAGCCACCAGAAUAGUAGCCAUUGAUAGCCCUGUCCUCCAUGAAUUUAUCUAAACCCCUCUUAAAGUCAUCCAGGCUGUUGGCUGUCGCCACAUCUUUGGUAAAGAAUUCCAUAGGUUAAUUAUGCAUUGUGUGAAGAAAGUACUUCCUUUUGUCAGUCCUAAAUGUCUUGGCAAUAUACUCUUCAUAUACUCUUACCUCACAAACAUGUCAAUAAAAAUCAGAAAAAAGCAACCAUUGCCAUAAAUUAUGCCUACAGCAUUUUAUGACACUGAUCAUGACCUACCCACCCCCAAAGACCAGCAACUGAAUUAUGCUUCCAGGGGAGCUCACAGCAGAAACAACACAAUCAAGGCUUCGGACUCAGUAAACACAUAUCACAGGCCAACACUAAACAUCAUGACAAACUAAUUAGCACAAAUAUGAUUUUGGAAGCCUGGAAGCAUGGAACUGUCAUCUCAGAAUUCAGAUGAGGCUGCAGGAUUGACCUAGAGCAGGCCUGCUCAACUUUGGUCCUCCUGCAGAUGUUGGCCUACAACUCCCAUAAUCCCUGGCUAUUGGCUGUUAUGGCUGGGGAUUAUGGGAGUUGUAGUCCAAAAACAGCUGGGGGGCCUAAGUUGAGCAGGCCUGACCUAGAGAAACAGCAAGAUGCACUCAUCUGUAACUUGCAAAAACAAACAAAUAAGGAUGUGAACACUAAUUAGAAGCAAGUUACAAAGUCCUUUCCAAGUAGUAAUCAAAGAUGAGGUCGUCAACAUGAAUGUUAGACAGAGGGACUGUAUUUAUAAUGGCAGUCAGUGAGGUCCACGAAGCUGAUUAUAGUAGGCCAUUCAAAUUGUUCUGAUUUGUUAAAAAGACAUUUGAUGGAUUAUAUCCUGCAGAAACUAUAGGUCAGUCAGCAGGAAUACAGGUCAGUUUAUAGAAUACCUGCUUUUAUACAGAUUUGUCUGCUGUAAUACUUUAACUCCUAUUUUGAGCUUGGACAGGUCACGGGAAUCUGAGGACAGCUCCUCUGCAAAAUCCUCAGGAGCAAAAUCCUCAGAAUGAUGCAGGAGACCUGAAAGAUCUAUAGAAACAUGUCUGUGUUAGGGGAAGCUGAGAAAGUGAAGAAUGAAGGUCGCUGAAUAAGAAGAAAUUCAUUUAUCUUCCAUUAUGCCAAUCUCCACUCAGAAGAAAGGGUGGAAGACAGGAAGUUGCUUCUUCUGAGUCAGACCAUUGAUACACUGAUUGGCACCAGCUCUCCAUUUGAGAUGAUCCCAACAGGCUGAGAAUGUGAUGAGUUUGGGAUGAACACAUGAACAACUUGAGAACUAAAGCUCCUCCAGUACACUACUGCUCGGGGCAGCUCACAACCGAGGCAAACCACAGGUCGCUUUAGCCACAGAACCACAGUUGCAUGCAUUUGCAUGUAAUGGAGUUUCAACCUCUGCCCCAGGUCAGUAUGGAACAGGCAGCAUGACAUGGACCAAUCUUCUCUGCUGCUUGACUCCUGGGACACUACCUGCUCUAUAAAGCCAACAUUUCAUUUCCCAGUUUACUGACUGAAAAGAGACAUUGAUGCCUGCCAAAUGCAGUCUUCGUGUGGUUUUCUAUUUGCAACCUGUUUCCCCUCAUUUUCUGCAUGAGGUUAUUUUUCUGUUUGCUUCCAUAAAUAAUGCAGGUUGAAAAGUCAAUUUGUUGUAAUGCAGAUGUAUAGGAGGGAGAGAGAUAUUAUAAAAGUAGAGAUGCUUCACUUUGGGAGCUCAUAUGCAUUUGAGGACAGAUUUUAGGACACAAACUUAAGAAGCUGCAACACAAAUGCCAUUUGUGUUUAUCCUGAGCUACAACUCAGGAUCUGCAAAAGCUCCACCCAACAGCUCCAAAAAACUAAAUGAGCUGCAGAGGUUCCAAAACCACAGUUUGUGCACCAGGGGUGGUGUGCGGGGGGGGGGGGUGCCUUUAAAAGAGCAGGGAAGGAGCUCCUUACCGCCUUGCCCCCGCCCUGCUGCUUUCCCCAGCGCUCAAUUUUUCAUCAGCGUCGGCACGCACAGGGCUCCUUACCUGUUCUUUUAAAGGCACUCCCCGCCAGUCAAGCCGAUUCGAACGCCAGCAUUCAAGCCAGUUCAGUGCUUCCUUUUGCAAGUGUCGAACUGGCUUGUGCACAUCCCUGCCACUGACUAAGAAGACAGCACUCCCUGCCAUACACAACAGAAGCUUCCUGUUUUACACCUGUGCAGAUUUAUCCACUAAAAUAUUUGCUCUGAAAGAUAAAAUAGGUGAACAGAACAUAGCUCCAAGAUUAGCAUACUGCAAAGUAAUGAGUAAUUGAGAUAUCCAGACAGCUUAUCACACAGAGAAUUUUUAAUUUGCAUGCUGUAUAUAUGAACACAGAUAAAAUGCACAGAGAUUUGCUUUUAAGCCCACUGUUGUCUUCCACUUAAACAAUGUCCAUAUGGUCCAUUGCGUUCCCACCACUAGCUUCUUCAUUUGAAAGAGCCGCUCCCCAUGCCUAUUCCCUCAGAGCCAUGUCUCUUUUUGUGCUAUGAUGUCCCCUGGUGGCUGCUCUGCAGUUCUUUGCCAAGCAGUUUAGAUUAAACGUAGCCAAAGCAGAAGGUUGGUUUGGCUUGAAAUCUCAACUGUUAACAUGCACAAUGUAAAAAUGUUCAAGGCUUCAAUAAAGAGUAUGAAAAACAUCGUUGAUAAACUGCCCGGCAGCUUGGAAUCCAGUGCUUUCAUGGAUGCAGGAUCAGUCUGAGAUUUCUGAAAGAACUACUGUGUUACUUACAAAUGCAAACUGUAUUUGAAGUGCAAAAUCCUCUGAGUCCGCCUUGAAGGUGUUCAUGCUCACCCAGAGUUCUUAUGCUCCCUCUGUUCCAUUCCCUCUUCCUCUUGGACUUGCUUCCAACAGCCCUUUACAACCAGGAGCAAAAGGAAAACAGAUGCAGCCACCAUUCCUCUAGUGCUGCUUCCCAGCGCCCCACCCAUACCCUUUACUUGAUAUUUAUUAAUAAAAUCAUUUUAAAAUGAAUGAAGCUAAUCCAUCAGGGCUCUGUAAACUUGGAUGCCGAUUGGGAUAGUAUAGAAGCAACAAUGGAAGAAGUUUCCUUUGAACAUUUUUACAUUGAACCAACCCUUCUCCCAUCCCUGGCAAUGGUGUGUGCCAGUACACAGAUAAAAAACUUAGAAAUUUGUUGAAACUCCAUUUUUAACAGGUAACACUGUUAUUUCACCCACAAUGUAUUGUGCAUAUUGGUAUGUGUAUGAGGCUUGUUUUGUGUGAGGAAAUGUUAGCAUGAACCAUAAUGCUAUUCAUUUCUCAUUCAAUUUGUAAGAGAUCUUCGUGAAAAAAUGAUUCUUUUAUUUUUCUUUCAUUCAUUGUUGGAUAGAUGGAUGCUUUAUUCUGACAAUAUGAGAGAGUGUGAGUGUCCAGCAGAUCACUGAGGGAUGACAAUUUGAAAGUCUGAAUACUAGAUAAGUACUCCAUUCCCACUCUGGCAUUCUCCCUUCUGACCUACAAAUUCCCUUGGGGAGGGCUGCUUACUUCUAUGACUCAGAAAAAGUAUAUACUACAAAGACAUUCUGUUUUCAUUA